rfam:Moellerella wisconsensis ATCC 35017 Sequence00003, whole genome shotgun sequence.
GACGGACAUCAGCGAUUCAUUUUGUGAACCCUGACCCACCGCCAGAUAAGCAUUCAUGCCCAGCUCUUUCAUUUGUUGCUCACCGAUAACUCGAGUUGUUAGCAACGAGUUGCUCGCAUGAUCUGCCAGUUGGCGCGCUUGCGAGGCUAAAUAGCCCGGAUUACAGAUAUUUGGCGGCAUGUUACCUAAAUCUUUCGC